CCCCCCCCCCCCCCAUAACCUAAGGUAAAUUCGAUAUGCUCCUUCUCUAUUUUCUAGCGUCGAUUAUUGAUUUACCGGCUCAUAAGCCUACGUUUCUUGUCCUGUCUACCUUGGCUGGGACACCGUAUUCCGAAAUCGGCCUCCACCCUGAGGCAACAACUUGGUGAAAUCUAAAAGGCUAGCGAUGAAGGUAAAGUUUCCUACUGUGAUUUUAUUCACAUAAACCUAGAGUUUUAAAUGUCUUUUUCUAAAGGAAUUAUAAUCUCAUAAAGCCCAAACUAUGGUCUUUUCGUAAAAGAACGACACCACUUUUUUGAAAUAUAAAAUAUCGCAUACUUUUUUAUCAACAUAUGGCCUUUUUGUAAAAAUAAUGACACCACAUUUUUGAAAUAUAAAAUAUGGCAUAGUUUUGGACCAACCUAUGACCUUUUCGUAAAAAAAUGACACCACUUUUUUGAAAUAUAAAAUAUGGCAUACUUUUGGACGGAGAAUGUUCUUCGCAAGAUUUGACUGUUAAUUUAGAUGGAAUUUGUAACACCGUGAUGACGUCUUCAAGCUGAACAGUCCACAUCAGCAUCUGUAUAGUCCACGUCUACUGCGUGGGAAGUGUCCACGUCGAUUUAUGGGUUAGAAAGAAAGAUUCGAUCCAAUCCGAAUCUUAUCCAUUAUCAAUUCAACCACGAUUUCUCUUUACAGUUUUUUUUUCUUUUUUUUUGUUUGGGAUGAGCACUAACAGAUGAUCUUCUUUUCCUUUCUUGCGAGGUUAUCAGUGGAGUUUGGGAUCCGAGACUUGGUCAUUACAAGGGUGGUGGUAUUUCAAUGAGGCCGAAAGUUCGAGUUUGUAGAAUGAGGGUUUAAGUAAUGGAAUUUUGAGUGAGAUUUAGAUGAGGUUUCAGGGGAGGCCGAGAGAGUAGAAUGUAGUUGUGAGAGGACUGUGAUUUGUGGAUGGGUGUGAUUUGGGUUUGUAAUUAAUUAUAUAACUUUUUUGGUGUAUUUUUCAUUUUCUUUCUGAAUCCCUAAAUGACGCCUUACUAUUCAAAUUAGUAUUCAAAUUAGAAGAUGCUCUAAGUUAAGUGAAUUAUUAAAUUAUCCUUCAAUAAAUUUGGAAAAUUUAUAUCAAUUUUAAUCUUCGA
rnacentral:lncRNA from 1 species